UACGGAGGAUGCAAGCGUUAUCCGGAUUCAUUGGGUUUAAAGGGUGCGCAGGCGGGAUGUUAAGUCAGUGGUGAAAGCCCCCAGCUCAACUGGGGAACUGCCAUUGAUACUGAUGUCCUAGAGUGUAGUUGGGGUAGGCGGAAUGUGUCAUGUAGCGGUGAAAUGCUUAGAUAUGACACAGAACACCGAUCGCGAAGGCAGCUUACCAAGCUAUAACUGACGCUCAGGCACGAAAGCGUGGGGAUCAAACAGG
rnacentral:rRNA from 1 species